rnacentral:lncRNA from 1 species
UGGAAGAUGAUAUGCAAUGCAUGUUUAUGAUAUGCAAAUGCAUGAAAUUUUGCCAUGUUUUUUUUUGCAAAGGAAUACAAAUACUCAAGAUCAAUCGUGCGUCGUGUAUAUCAGGAUAGUAAGAGGAAGUAAUAUGUUUCUUUGAUUACUGAAAUUCCCAAGGGUAGGCUCUAAAGUUAAUAGGUUCCCAGAGUCAUCGAUUCUCAUCGAGAGCGUCACUGCCGUGACGAAGAC